rnacentral:rRNA from 1 species
GACGUAGGGCGCGAGCGUUGUCCGGAUUUAUUGGGCGUAAAGAGCUCGUAGGCGGCUUGUCGCGUCGUCCGUGAAAACCUGGGGCUCAACUCCAGGAUUGCGGUCGAUACGGGCAGGCUAGAGUUCGGUAGGGGAGACUGGAAUUCCUGGUGUAGCGGUGAAAUGCGCAGAUAUCAGGAGGAACACCGGUGGCGAAGGCGGGUCUCUGGGCCGAUACUGACGCUGAGGAGCGAAAGCGUGGGGAGCGAACAGG